UGGGGAAUAUUGCACAAUGGGCGGAAGCCUGAUGCAGCGACGCCGCGUGGGGGAUGAAGGCCUUCGGGUUGUAAACUCCUUUCGACAGGGACGAAGCUUUUGUGACGGUACCUGUAUAAGAAGCACCGGCUAACUACGUGCCAGCAGCCGCGGUAAUACGUAGGGUGCGAGCGUUGUCCGGAAUUACUGGGCGUAAAGAGCUCGUAGGUGGUUUGUCGCGUCGUCUGUGAAAUUCCGGGGCUUAACUCCGGGCGUGCAGGCGAUACGGGCUGACUUGAGUGCUGUAGGGGAGACUGGAAUUCCUGGUGUAGCGGUGAAAUGCGCAGAUAUCAGGAGGAACACCGAUGGCGAAGGCAGGUCUCUGGGCAGUAACUGACGCUGAGGAGCGAAAGCAUGGGUAGCGAACAGGAUUAGAUACCCUGGUAGUCCAUGCCGUAAACGGUGGGCGCUAGGUGUAGGGGGCUUCCACGUCUUCUGUGCCGUAGCUAACGCANNAAANCCCCCCCCNGGGGGAGGGGCGGGGGGGGCUA
rnacentral:rRNA from 1 species